rnacentral:rRNA from 1 species
UUGAUCAUGGCUCAGAGCGAACGCUGGCGGCAGGCCUAACACAUGCAAGUCGAACGGAUCCUUCGGGAUUAGUGGCGGACGGGUGAGUAACACGUGGGAACGUGCCCUUUGGUUCGGAACAACUCAGGGAAACUUGAGCUAAUACCGGAUGUGCCCUUCGGGGGAAAGAUUUAUCGCCAUUGGAGCGGCCCACGUCUGAUUAGCUAGUUGGUGGGGUAAAGGCCCACCAAGGCGACGAUCAGUAGCUGGUCUGAGAGGAUGAUCAGCCACAUUGGGACUGAGACACGGCCCAAACUCCUACGGGAGGCAGCAGUGGGGAAUCUUGCGCAAUGGGCGAAAGCCUGACGCAGCCAUGCCGCGUGAAUGAUGAAGGUCUUAGGAUUGUAAAAUUCUUUCACCGGGGACGAUAAUGACGGUACCGGAGAAGAAGCCCCGGCUAACUUUCGUGUCACCAGCCCGCGU